rnacentral:rRNA from 1 species
CCUGGCUCAGGAUGAACGCUGGCGGCGUGCCUAACACAUGCAAGUCGAGCGAUGAGGCUCCCUUCGGGGGGUCAUCAGCGGCGAACGGGUGAGUAACACGUGGGUGACCUUCCCCAAAGACGGGGAUAACUCUUGGAAACAGGGGCUAAUACCCGAUGUGCUCAGCAGUUCACUCUGUUGAGUAAAGCUAUGGCGCUUUGGGAUGGGCCCGCGGCCCAUCAGCUAGUUGGUAGGGUAAAGGCCUACCAAGGCUAAGACGGGUAGGGGGCGUGAGAGCGCGAUCCCCCACACUGGCACUGAGACACGGGCCAGACUCCUACGGGAGGCAGCAGUGAGGAAUAUUGCGCAAUGGACGAAAGUCUGACGCAGCGACGCCGCGUGGGCGAUGAAGGCCUUCGGGUCGUAAAGCCCUUUUCUGGGGGAAGAGAAAGGACGGUACCCCAGGAAUAAGCCCCGGCUAACUACGUGCCAGCAGCCGCGGUAAAACGUAGGGGGCAAGCGUUAUCCGGAUUUACUGGGCGUAAAGAGCGUUGAGGCGGUUUUGUAAGUUGGGCGUGAAAGCCCUGGGCUUAACUCAGGGAAGCCGUUCAAUACUGCGAAACUUGAGGGCAGCAGAGGGAGGUGGAAUUCCCGGAGUAGCGGUGAAAUGCGUAGAUAUCGGGAGGAACACCAGUGGCGAAGGCGGCCUCCUGGGCUGCUCCUGACGCUGAAGGCGAAAGCUAGGGGAGCGAACGGGAUUAGAAACCCCGGUAGUCCUAGCUGUAAACGAUGGAUGCUAGGUGUGGGGGGUGUAGAUUCCCUCCGUGCCGCAGUUAACGCGUUAAGCAUCCCGCCUGGGGAGUACGGCCGCAAGGCUAAAACUCAAACGAAUUGACGGGGGCCCGCACAAGCAGCGGAGCGUGUGGUUUACUUCGAUGCUACACGAAGAACCUUACCUGGGCUUGACAUACGGGUAGUAAUGAAGUGAAAGCGGAUCGAUCCUUCGGGGA